rnacentral:rRNA from 1 species
GACGAACGCUGGCGGCGUGCUUAACACAUGCAAGUCGAACGGAAAGGCCCUGCUUUUGUGGGGUUCUCGAGUGGCGAACGGGUGAGUAACACGUGAGUAACCUGCCCUUGACUUUGGGAUAACUUCAGGAAACUGGGGCUAAUACCGGAUAGGGUCUCCUGCUGCAUGGUGGGGGUUGGAAAGUUUCGGCGGUUGGGGAUGGACUCGCGGCUUAUCAGCUUGUUGGUGGGGUAGUGGCUUACCAAGGCUUUGACGGGUAGCCGGCCUGAGAGGGUGACCGGCCACAUUGGGACUGAGAUACGGCCCAGACUCCUACGGGAGGCAGCAGUGGGGAAUAUUGCACAAUGGGCGGAAGCGUGAUGCAGCAACGCCGCGUGCGGGAUGACGGCCUACGGGUUGUAAACCGCUUUCGCCUGUGACGAAGCGUGAGUGACGGUAAUGGGUAAAGAAGCACCGGCUAACUACGUG